GAUGAACGCUGGCGGCGUGCCUAACACAUGCAAGUCGAACGAAGCACUUUUUUACGAUCCCUUCGGGGUGGACGGAGUUGUGACUGAGUGGCGGACGGGUGAGUAACGCGUGGGAAACCUGCCUUGUACCGGGGGAUAGCAGUUGGAAACGACUGAUAAUACCGCAUAAGCGCACAGUAUCACAUGAUACAGUGUGAAAAACUCCGGUGGUACAAGAUGGUCCCGCGUCUGAUUAGCUUGUUGGCGGGGUAAUGGCCCACCAAGGCGACGAUCAGUAGCCGGACUGAGAGGUUGACCGGCCACAUUGGGACUGAGAUACGGCCCAGACUCCUACGGGGAGGCAGCAGUGGGGAAUAUUGGGCAAUGGACGCAAGUCUGACCCAGCAACGCCGCGUGAAGGAAGAAGGCUUUCGGGUUGUAAACUUCUUUAAGGGGGUAAGAGCAGAAGACGGUACCCCUUGAAUAAGCCACGGCUAACUACGUGCCAGCAGCCGCGGU
rnacentral:rRNA from 1 species